rnacentral:rRNA from 1 species
UGAGUAACACGUGGGUGAUCUGCCCUGCACUUCGGGAUAAGCUUGGGAAACUGGGUCUAAUACCGGAUAGGAACCAUCUUUAGUGUGGUGGUUGGAAAGUUUUUUCGGUGUAGGAUGAGCUCGCGGCCUAUCAGCUUGUUGGUGGGGUAAUGGCCUACCAAGGCGGCGACGGGUAGCCGGCCUGAGAGGGUGUACGGCCACAUUGGGACUGAGAUACGGCCCAG